GCAACCGCAGAGGAUACAAUAUAAUGGUGAGUUUUCGAUGAAGGACCACAGUAGUUAAGAGGAGUGGUGGGAAGAAGGGAUGGAGAACGACUCUAAAGUAAACGGACGUGGCAAAUGGCAGGGAGCUGAGUAUAGCAAUCUUAGGAGAAUAAUCCUUUUCCUUUUUUGCUUAAGAAAUACUGAUGAGAUAUAUCUUGUGUAUUUUUGGUUGGAAAACAAAAUGGGUUUCUUUCCGUGGUAUGUUUAUGAUCUCAUUCCAGCUACAUCCAAAAACUAUUUGACCCCCAUAUAAGAAAUCACCAACCAGGAAAAGGGGGACAAAAUGUAUCUAUUGGUCCCAGCUUUAAAACUGUGCAAUUUGUAAGGUGAAGGGGUUGGAACAGAUAAUCUGUAAAGUCUCUCCUGACACUGGGAGUCUACGGUUUCUUGAAAAAAAACAAACCCUUCUCUUUGAUUUCUUGCAGCACUGAGUUCCCUUCCCAUGUGUGUUUUCUUGCUACACAUCUUGUUAUUUGCCAUUCUUUGUUUAAGUAUGGUUGUCUCCAGGGGCACCUGGGUGGCUCAAUCAGUUAAGCGUCUGACUUCAGCUCAGGUCAUUAUCUCACAGUUCAUGGGUUGGGGCCCCAUGUCGGGCUCUGUGCCGACAGCUCAGAGCCCGGAGCCUGCUUCGGAUUCUGUGUCCCCCUCUCUCUCUGCUCCCCUCCUUGCUCACACUCUGUCUCUCUCUCUCUCAAAAAUAAACAUUAAAAGAAAAAUUAUAAAAAUUUUUUUUAAAGUAUGGUUUUUCCCACUGGACCAGGAGCCCUCCCAGGUCAGGACUGUGUUUUGUUCCCCUUUGUGCCAUCCUAACACAGUGCCUGGCACGUAACAGAAGCUCAAUGAAUAUUGCCGAAUGAUGAGGUUGGAGAUGCUGAAGACAGGAGAUCAAGAGGUUGGGCUCGCGAAUGAAACAGAACACUCCUGUACAUGGAAAGGACUAUUACUGGGAGAAAAAGAUUUCAAACAAGCUGUCUGAAAACGUUGUUCAGGGUCCGUUCUCAUGUCACGGGAGGUUGGUGAAUAAGCUUACAUAACUGUUGGAUUUACUUCCCUUUGUGAAAAGUUAAUUUCUUCAAUAGGAUCAUUCAAGUGGGGAAUGUUGUUGGAGGAUGCUACCCAUUUGGUAACAGCCAGCAUGACAUCUCAUGCAUCAGAGUCCCUGGGUCUCAUCUCCUUCAGGCCUGGAGAGGAUCCUAGACAGGUCUCCAUCCCACUAUCAUAUGUGUUGAGGAGCCACAUCAGAUGCCUUCCUGUUGGACACCCACUAUGGACUCUCCAUCACGAACCACUCCUGUUAGUGCCCAGAGACUUUGUAUGGCCUGUCUGGCUUGUCCAAGGCGACUACCUUUCCAUCAGCUUGGGUCCCUUUUAAGCCCCAUGAGAAAGAGCGGGACCCCAGACAUCCAGAGGACUGCUGGUGGCAUGAACUUUCCCCCUCCACCGUGUCUGUUACGUCUGUUGACGUUACAUGGCAACAGCUCAGAAUUUCCCUCUUGUGGAAAUACAGUCCUGUUACAUACUUGUCUGUCGGCAUCACGCGAUACUUUUUCCUGUAUUGUAGAUAUUUACUGCUGCUGGACAUCUUCCGUUUGCCUCUGGAGAUGCACUCUCUACUCUUCUCCACUCUGCUUUCCUCCACAGAGGCUGGUCGGUGUGAGCUUCCUGUUGGGUUUGUCUGACGGGAAGCCCCAGCAUGAGGCUGGAGAGAGUGGGGAGGGAGGUCAGGGCACGUAUGUUCUCCAGAGAGCCCUUCUCUCUGAGUUCCUGUAAUCACUCCCUCUUCCUGUUCCUUCCCAAGGGAGGCAGUGACAGUCUCUCGGUUACCAGCCCUCUCAGGAUACCCCACAUAGCUCUUAUUUCCCUGUACCCUGCUUAUGUCUUGGUAACUAGUGCCUUUGUUAAGCCUCUGCUGGAACCCUGCUGCAGACUGUAUGUUCCAGAGGUGGUUAAAACGACAUCUCCCAUCCCAUAUGCUCUUCUUAACAAUGUGACUUUGAGGGGCGCUUGGGUGGCUCAGUCGGUUGAGCGUCCGACUUCGGCUCAGGUCAGGACCUCGCGGUCUGUGAGUUCGAGCCCCGCGUUGGGCUCUGUGCUGACAGCUCAGAGCCUGGAGCCUGCUUCGGAUUCUGUGUCUCCCUCUCUCUCUGCCCCUCCCCCGCUCACACUCUGUCUCUCUCUCUCUCCUUCAAAAAUAAACAUGAAAAACAAAAACAAAAACAGUGUGACUUUGACAAUUCUCCUUCAAGAGGAAGCGACACUACACUGUGACUUCUGAAUUAGUCCUAAAAGAUGAUACAGCUUCUGCUUGAUCCUCUUGGGACACUCGCCUUUGGAGCCCUGGACUGUCAUGAAAAUUGUCCCCGCCAGGCUGUGAGGAAGCCCAAGUUGCAGAAAGACAACAGGGGGAUGCCCUGAGAGAGAGAUUCCUGGCCAGUCUCCGCUGCUUCUGCUACCCCUGUCUGACUGCGGGAGAGACUGGAUUGGAACCAGAAUUGUCCAGCUGGGUCCCUCCUGAUUCCUAGCUCACAGAUACUCUGAAAGAUACUGAAAUAGCAGCAGUAGAUAAGCAGGACAGACCCUGACUGAUAGGUUUCAUACACACCUCUCCCCUGUGAGCCAUGAGUUUCCUCUGGCAGCACACCUUAUUACAUUUCCUGGAGCGGCCAUCACACGGCAGUUCAUUCAUGACUAUGAAUAUUUGUGAAUGGGUCCAAGGGAUGUGGCUGAUUGGAGUUUGGGUCCUCAAGGAAGACUUGAGUGCUCGGCUCACUUGAUAUAGGAAAAUGGAGAACGUUGCAAUUUUUUUUUUUAAUGUUUAUCUUUGAGAGCGAGAGCGAGAGAGAGAGAGAGAGAGAGACAGAGCACGAGUUGGGGAGGGGCAGAGAGAAAGGCAGACACAGAAUUCGAAGCAGGCCCCAGGCUCCGAGCUGUCAGCAGAGACCUGAUUCGGGGCUCGAACUUAUGAACCGUGAGAUCACGACCUGAGCCAAAGCCAGAUGCUUAACCAGCUGAGCCCCGAGGCACCUCGAGCAUUGCAUUGUUGACCACCUGAAGGCAGAUGUGUCGAUUCUAUCUCCUAUUUGCAAUCCUGGAACCCCAGUGACCGAAAGCAGAUGUCCCUCGGAUUUAAGAUACUCUUUGAAAACAGAAUCUGCAUGAAGAAGUAGAACACUAGUUGUGCCAAAAUGAGAUUGCGGACUUUCCCCAAGGCUUAUCUAAAGCCCUCACUAAAUGCAGCUUCCCUGUUUUCUCCCA